GAUGAACGCUAGCGGCAGGCCUAACACAUGCAAGUCGAGGGGUAGAAGUCUUCGGGCUUUGAGACCGGCGCACGGGUGCGUAACGCGUAUGCAAUCUGCCUUACACUAAGGGAUAGCCCAGAGAAAUUUGGAUUAAUACCUUAUAGUAUAUUUUUGUGGCAUCACAGGAUUAUUAAAGAUUUAUCGGUGUAAGAUGAGCAUGCGUCCCAUUAGCUAGUUGGUAUGGUAACGGCAUACCAAGGCAAUGAUGGGUAGGGGUCCUGAGAGGGAGAUCCCCCACACUGGUACUGAGACACGGACCAGACUCCUACGGGAGGCAGCAGUGAGGAAUAUUGGACAAUGGGCGCAAGCCUGAUCCAGCCAUGCCGCGUGCGGGAUGAAGCAUCUAUGGUGUGUAAACUGCUUUUAUACAGGAAGAAACCCCUUUACGUGUAGAGGAUUGACGGUACUGUAGGAAUAAGGAUCGGCUAACUCCGUGCCAGCCGCCGCAGUAAUAC
rnacentral:rRNA from 1 species